UACGAAGGGGGCUAGCGUUGCUCGGAAUCACUGGGCGUAAAGGGCGCGUAGGCGGGUCUUUAAGUCAGGGGUGAAAUCCUGGAGCUCAACUCCAGAACUGCCCUUGAUACUGAAGGUCUUGAGUUCGGGAGAGGUGAGUGGAACUGCGAGUGUAGAGGUGAAAUUCGUAGAUAUUCGCAAGAACACCAGUGGCGAAGGCGGCUCACUGGCCCGAUACUGACGCUGAGGCACGAAAGCGUGGGGAGCAAACAGG
rnacentral:rRNA from 1 species